GGCCGACUGGUGUAGUGGUUAUCACGUUUCGUUUACACCUCAGGAGGAAUCCGAAAAGGUCGCUGGUUCGAUCCCAGCGUCGGUCA